UACGUAGGUGGCGAGCGUUGUCCGGAAUUACUGGGUGUAAAGGGUGCGUAGGCGGGUCUUCAAGUCAGUUGUGAAACCCAUGGGCUUAACCCAUGGCAUGCGACUGAAACUGGAGGUCUUGAGUGUCGGAGAGGUAAGUGGAAUUCCUAGUGUAGCGGUGGAAUGCGUAGAUAUUAGGAGGAACACCAGUGGCGAAGGCGACUUACUGGACGAUAACUGACGCUGAUGCACGAAAGCGUGGGGAGCAAAC
rnacentral:rRNA from 1 species